rnacentral:rRNA from 1 species
AACGAACGCUGGCGGCAGGCUUAACACAUGCAAGUCGAACGCCCCGCAAGGGGAGUGGCAGACGGGUGAGUAACGCGUGGGAAUCUACCCAUCUCUGCGGAAUAGCUCCGGGAAACUGGAAUUAAUACCGCAUACGCCCUACGGGGGAAAGAUUUAUCGGGGAUGGAUGAGCCCGCGUUGGAUUAGCUAGUUGGUGGGGUAAAGGCCUACCAAGGCGACGAUCCAUAGCUGGUCUGAGAGGAUGAUCAGCCACAUUGGGACUGAGACACGGCCCAAACUCCUACGGGAGGCAGCAGUGGGGAAUAUUGGACAAUGGGCGCAAGCCUGAUCCAGCCAUGCCGCGUGAGUGAUGAAGGCCUUAGGGUUGUAAAGCUCUUUCACCGGUGAAGAUAAUGACGGUAACCGGAGAAGAAGCCCCGGCUAACUUCGUGCCAGCAGCCGCCGCGG